AUGAGGAGUCCGCUUGUCGUUGUGGUUUGCUGCUUCUCCGCUGUGUGUCUCGAGGCUUCAGCAGUGCUGGAGGUGACCUGCCAUGUCGGGGAAGAGGUCUCCAUCCCCUGUUUUGGGAGCUGGACCGAAAAGAACAGCUCCGAAGGCCACACCAGGUUCUUCUGCAAAGGAGUCUGCACUGCGAAAAACAUUGUCGUUCAAUCGGGCAAAAUGAGAUUGACUCCCACGGUGCGAGGGAGAUACAGCAUCGACGGAGCCUUCAGCGCGGCCAUAAGGGACGUGAGGAGACGCGACGCAGGGACAUACUGCUGUGGGAUGAAGGAAAAACUCAGCGUGAUGCAACAGGAGGUCCAUCUCCAAGUUUUGGAAGCUUCCACUGUUCUUCUUGGUUCUGCGCUCCCCACCGCCCCCCCUGAGACUGAAACAGAAACCCUGCCCCAGGGCAGCUUUGCGUCCGGCACCGAGCCGCCGCCGAGAGCAUCCACGCUGCCCGCCACAGAGGACGAGACAAACCACACGGCAGCAGGCAAACUCAAAGACACCACAGUGGUCAUCAUUGUCUGCGUGAGCCUUGCUCUUCUGGUGUGCGCCUUCAUACCUCUAAUAUUCUACAGACACUGGGUGGGUAUUAAAGGAGGUGAGAACAAGGUGGAGACUGAAAACUGUGAGGAAAAUGCGGCUGUUUCCUCUACUCAGGUUGCAAUGCGGCUGCAGUCGUUUGAUGAUGAUACAGAGUCCAGUAUUCACAGUUUGU
ensembl:lncRNA